rnacentral:rRNA from 1 species
GACGAACCGUGCGAACGUUGUUCGGAAUCACUGGGCUUAAAGGGCGCGUAGGCGGGCUAUCAAGUCCGGGGUGAAAUCCUCCAGCUCAACUGGAGAUCGGCCUCGGAUACUGAUGGUCUCGAGGGGGAUAGGGGCACGCGGAACUGUGGGUGGAGCGGUGAAAUGCUUAGAUAUGACAUAGAACACCAAUUGCGAAGGCAGCUUACUACACAAUGAUUGACGCUGAGGCACGAAAGCGUGGGGAUCAAACAGG